GAUCCUGGCUCAGGAUGAACGCUGGCGGCGCGCCUAACACAUGCAAGUCGAACGGCACCCCUCUCCGGAGGGAAGCGAGUGGCGAACGGCUGAGUAACACGUGGAGAACCUGCCCCCCUCCCCCCGGGAUAGCCGCCCGAAAGGACGGGUAAUACCGGAUACCCCGGGGUGCCGCAUGGCACCCCGGCUAAAGCCCCGACGGGAGGGGAUGGCUCCGCGGCCCAUCAGGUAGACGGCGGGGUGACGGCCCACCGUGCCGACAACGGGUAGCCGGGUUGAG
rnacentral:rRNA from 1 species